rnacentral:rRNA from 1 species
UACGUAGGGGGCGAGCGUUGUCCGGAUUUAUUGGGCGUAAAGAGCUCGUAGGCGGUUUGGCAAGUCGGGUGUGAAAACUCCGGGCUUAACUCGGAAAGGUCAACUGAUACUGUGCGACUAGAGUGCAGAAGGGGCAACUGGAAUUCUCGGUGUAGCGGUGAAAUGCGUAGAUAUCGAGAGGAACACCUGCGGCGAAGGCGGCAUACUGGUCCACUUCUGACGCUGAGGCGCGAAAGCCAGGGGAGCAAACGGG